UUGUGCAAUUUCCUGUUUAGGCACCUGGGACAUGGCGGUGGAUGCUUGGAGUUGCAGGACUUCCUGCUCUGAUUCAGUUUGUGUUAAUGUUGCUUCUUCCAAAGUCGCCCCGUUGGCUCUACCGCAAGGUAAGGAAAGAAGAAGAGAAAACCAUACUAAGGAAAAUAUACUCAGACAGAGGUAGAAGAAGAGAUCCGUGAUCUAAAGGAAUCGGUCGAAGCUGAGAUCGAGGCAAAAGGGUCUUCUGGCAAGAUUUCCUAUGCUGAACUAUGGAAAACCAAAGCUGUAAGAAGAGGGCUAAUUGCUGGAGUUGGCCUUCAGGUUUUCCAGCAGUUUGGGGGCAUUAACACAGUUAUUCUACAGCCCCACCAUAGUUCAAUUGGCUGGGAUUGCAUCUGAUGAAAGUGGAGUACAGAAUUAUACUUGGGCUGUAAAUGCCAAUGGCUGGAACUGUAAGAACUGUUUGAAGGCUUCAUCUCCCCCAUGUGGGUUCUGUGCUUUGGGUACUAACAUGGUAUGGCCAGGGGAGUGUUUGAUCUCAGAUGAAACUGAAGGAUUGUGCCAUGGAGAAGGCAGGCAAUGGUACACCAGGGGCUGUCCAAGCAAAAUUGGAUGGCUUGCACUUGUUGCCCUGGCAUUUUACAUCAUAUUCUUCUCUCUUGGAGAUCAGAGCUUUUUGGUCAUAAAAAUAUGACAUUAGUAAUGUUUUUAUAAACAUAUUAGCUAUUGCACAUGUAUGCCAUUUGGACCAAAAUAUCAAGUUAUUGCAUCA